rnacentral:rRNA from 1 species
AGAGCGAACGCUGGCGGCAUGCUUAACACAUGCAAGUCGCACGGGCAGGGGAAACCCUGUCAGUGGCGGACGGGUGAGUAACGCGUAGGUAUCUAUCCUUGGGUGGGGGACAACUGUGGGAAACUACAGCUAAUACCGCAUGAUGACCGAGGUCCAAAGCUCGCGAGAGCGCCUGGGGAGGAGCCUGCGUACGAUUAGCUAGUUGGUGGGGUAAAGGCCUACCAAGGCGACGAUCGUUAGCUGGUCUGAGAGGAUGAUCAGCCACAUUGGGACUGAGACACGGCCCAAACUCCUACGGGAGGCAGCAGUGGGGAAUAUUGGACAAUGGGCGAAAGCCUGAUCCAGCAAUGCCGCGUGUGUGAAGAAGGUCUUCGGAUUGUAAAGCACUUUCGACGGGGACGAUGAUGACGGUACCCGUAGAAGAAGCCCCGGCUAACUUCGUGCCAGCAGCCGC